rnacentral:rRNA from 1 species
UACGGAGGGGGUUAGCGUUGUUCGGAAUGACUGGGCGUAAAGCGCGCGUAGGCGGGCUGGAAAGUCAGGGGUGAAAUCCCGGGGCUCAACCCUGGAAUGGCCUUUGAAACUCCCAGCCUUGAGUUCGAGAGAGGUGAGUGGAAUUCCGAGUGUAGAGGUGAAAUUCGUAGAUAUUCGCAAGAACACCAGUGGCGAAGGCGGCUCACUGGCCCGAUACUGACGCUGAGGUGCGAAAGCGUGGGGAGCAAACAGG